rnacentral:lncRNA from 1 species
CUCCAGCAUGAUGGACAAGGUCCUUCAGGGCCCUGGUGCAAGACUCUGUGCCACUCUACUUCUCAUUCAUCAUCAAGCAACUAUUGAGCACCUACUAUUUGCCACACUAUUCUAGGUGCUUGGAAUGUGGCAGGGAAUUAAACAGAGAUCCCUGCCCUGAAGGGGCUGAUAUUCUAGUGUGGAGAGAGAAACCAAAAUCAAUGAACAUAAUAAAUGGGGAAAAUAAAAGAUUCGUGGUAAUGAGUGCUUGGACAAGAGAAACAGCAUGGACAUGGAUUAGGGAUGCUGACAGGGGCUGGUGGGGGGUGUCGCUUGUUAAAUAAGGUGGGUGGAGAGGGCUUCAGUGAGGUGGUGGGAUUUGAACAGAGAUUUGAAGAGGUGAGAGAAUGAGGUGUGGGUGUCUGGGGGAAGUUUUCCAGCAAUGAGCAAAGUGGUCAAAGGCCACAGAAAUGUGGCUGCCCCUGGACACCUCCUGGAGCCCCGUGAGUAUGGGAGAGGGAAGGACUGAGGCCAUCACCCAGGUCACAUAGGAGGCGUGGUCAUCAUAAGGACUUUGGCUUUCACCCUGCAGGAAAUGGGAAAUCAGCCAGGUCAUAAAGGAGGCAUGGCCAUCACAAGGACUUUCACUUUGUGAGAGAGAGAAAAGAAAACAUGUAAACAAAAGCCUGCUAUGCAUUUUCUGGGAAAGGUGUCCUCAGAAAUAAAAGAGAGGCGAUGGAAGGAAAUUUCCUUUUCUUGCUGUAUGUCGUCAUGUCUCUGGGCAAAGCCUGAAACUGCUGGAGCCAACUUGGUGAUCCCAAGAGGAGUCCAUUGUGUUCAAUCUGGCAGGGUAGGAAGCACCAAGGUCUUCUGUUGGUGUCAUUGAGCAAAUUAGCCAAUCAGGGAUUUAUCCCAUGUUCAGACUUCUCAGUACAUAAGUGAGAUGAAAAAUGUCCUUUCUGUCUAGCACACUUUUAAUUGAGUUUUAUGUUGCUCGUAGCUGAAAGCACCCUGAAGGAUGCAUUAUUUCAGAAGGGACCCACAUAGGAGAGCCAUGAUGGAAGGGGACACCCACCUAAUUGGGCACAUUGCUGAAUCAAUCCUUGGGACCAAUGUGAUGAAGAUGUCACAGUUCGAUUGCCCAGAGACUCUGAAAAAAGAAAAAAAGAAACUCUCAUGAUUUUCGUGGGGAUUCACAGACAAACAAGAUCAGACGUAACAGAGAGAGACAGAGACUGAGAGAGAGACAGAGAGAAAGAGGGGACUGGAUUCUUUAUAAAAUA